rnacentral:rRNA from 1 species
GAAGAACCUUACCAAGGCGUGACAUGUUAACCGUGGCUCUAGAGAUAGGGUUUACCCUUUUGGGUGGUUUUCACAGGUGGUGCAUGGUUGUCGUCAGCUCGUGUCGUGAGAUGUUGGGUUAAGUCCCGCAACGAGCGCAACCCUUGUCCCGUGUUGCCAGCACGUUGUGGUGGGGACUCGCGGGAGACUGCCGGGGUCAACUCGGAGGAAGGUGGGGAUGACGUCAAAUCAUCAUGCCCCUUAUGUCUUGGGCUUCACGCAUGCUACAAUGGCCGGUACAGAGGGUUGCGAUACUGUGAGGUGGAGCUAAUCCCUAAAAGCCGGUCUCAGUUCGGAUUGGGGUCUGCAACUCGACCCCAUGAAGUCGGAGUCGCUAGUAAUCGCAGAUCAGCAACGCUGCGGUGAAUACGUUCCCGGGCCUUGUACACACCGCCCGUCAAGUCACGAAAGUUGGUAACACCCAAAGCCGGUGGCCUAACCCUUUUGGGAGGGAGCCGUCUAAGGUGGGAUUGGCGAUUGGGACUAAGUCGUAACAAGGUAGCCGUACCGGAAGGUGCGGCUGGAUCACCUCCUUUCUAAGGA